UGAGGAAUAUUGGUCAAUGGGCGAGAGCCUGAACCAGCCAAGUAGCGUGCAGGACGACGGCCCUAUGGGUUGUAAACUGCUUUUAUAAGGGAAUAAAGUGAGUCUCGUGAGACUUUUUGCAUGUACCUUAUGAAUAAGGACCGGCUAAUUCCGUGCCAGCAGCCGCGGUAAUACGGAAGGUCCGGGCGUUAUCCGGAUUUAUUGGGUUUAAAGGGAGCGUAGGCCGGAGAUUAAGCGUGUUGUGAAAUGUAGACGCUCAACGUCUGCACUGCAGCGCGAACUGGUUUCCUUGAGUACGCACAAAGUGGGCGGAAUUCGUGGUGUAGCGGUGAAAUGCUUAGAUAUCACGAAGAACUCCGAUUGCGAAGGCAGCUCACUGGAGCGCAACUGACGCUGAAGCUCGAAAGUGCGGGUAUCGAACAGGAUUAGAUACCCUGGUAGUCCGCACGGUAAACGAUGGAUGCCCGCUGUUGGCCUGAAUAGGUCAGCGGCCAAGCGAAAGCAUUAAGCAUCCCACCUGGGGAGUACGCCGGCAACGGUGAAACUCAAAGGAAUUGACGGGGGCCCGCACAAGCGGAGGAACAUGUGGUUUAAUUCGAUGAUACGCGAGGAACCUUACCCGGGCUUGAAUUGCAGAGGAAGGAUUUGGAGACAAUGACGCCCUUCGGGGCCUCUGUGAAGGUGCUGCAUGGUUGUCGUCAGCUCGUGCCGUGAGGUGUCGGCUUAAGUGCCAUAACGAGCGCAACCCCUCUCCUUAGUUGCCAUCAGGUUAAGCUGGGCACUCUGGGGACACUGCCACCGUAAGGUGUGAGGAAGGUGGGGAUGACGUCAAAUCAGCACGGCCCUUACGUCCGGGGCUACACACGUGUUACAAUGGCAGGUACAGAGAGACGGUCCCUUGCAAAAUGGAUCAAAUCCUUAAAGCCUGUCUCAGUUCGGACUGGGGUCUGCAACCCGACCCCACGAAGCUGGAUUCGCUAGUAAUCGCGCAUCAGCCAUGGCGCGGUGAAUACGUUCCC
rnacentral:rRNA from 1 species